rnacentral:misc_RNA from 1 species
AACGCAAAUUGCGCUCGAGGCCUCGGCCGAGAGCAUGCCUGCCUCAGUGUCGGUUUCACCCUCGCUUCACGGCCUUCACCCUGUGAAGGCCGUGAGAGCGGACCUGGCCGUCCCGAUCCAGCCGAUCGGGUCGGCUGAAGCGCAGAGGCUUGAGCGGGAGUCCCUUUCAUCGUGGGAACAACAGACCGGUAGGUGAGCCGUUUCUUCGUUCGGAGAGAGGAUCGCAUGCCGCUGCUGGGCCCCGGGGCCCCGCUGGACGCCGAGCAGGAGACGGUGCGGCUCGUGAUGGAGGCGACUCCAUCACGCCGACCGAGCAUCAUCCGUUCGACCUGAGUUCAGGCAAGGGCACCCGCUGAACUUAA